UAUUAUUAUUUCACUAUUAUUAAAGGGAGAGCAUUUCACAUAUGACAUAACUAUACACUGCUCUAUACAAAACACACACACAACUCAUGUUUGAUGUUAUAAGUAUUUCUGAUCUCAUUAUUGUGGUUUAUUGUCGUACCGAUGCAUCACACCACUAAUCUAAAGUCUCUUUAGAGUUAACUCUUUAAAGUUUCUGGCUGGAGGAGGAUGUGAAUAAAUAUGAAUAAAUGAAUAUCAGAUGCAGCUUAAUAGCUUUAAACCACAUCCAGAGACACACACACACACACACACACACACACACACACACACACACACACACACACACACAAGGCGAGUGUUUGUGUGAUUAGAAGUCUGUGUUUGUGUAUCAUGUGAAAGCCUGUUAGUUUGAUCUCCAUGGCAACACUGUUUGAGCAAACCAUGGCUCAUUCUUCACACUCACACAUUUCACACAACACACACACACACACACACACACACACGCAAAUAGGGCUUCACAAUGCUACUCUGGAUAAAUAAACUGUGUGGAACAAACAGCCUGACAUUUAAAGCUUUUAAACCAUUAACGCUUUUAGCGUGUGUGUGUGUGUGUGUGUGUGUGUGUGUGUGUGUGUGUGAGAGAGAGAGAGAGAGAGAGAGAGAGAGAGACUCUAUUCACGCCAACAGAAACAAGAUGCAAUAAAACAUCCGGAAGCUGCUCGUUUUCAGCGAGUUACAGCCAUUUACAGCAACAGGAGGCAGAGCAAAGUCGGCGGGGUUACAGUAACAGCGACAAGUACAGAGGACUCUGUAAUCAUUGGCACUAUGAAGUUUUCUGUAAGGAGAAAUGUGUUUAUGUAACAUUUAUGGAAGGAGUCUCCAGUGUCAGAGACUCAAACGUUUUGAAGACUCACACACACACGCACACACACACACACACACAGACACACACACACUUACCGGCACUGACUGUGAUGGCCUCGAUGAACUGAUCUCUCCAGCUGUUUGUGCCGACCAGCAGCGCCAAGUUCGUCUUCUUAAUCAGUUUAUCAACAGUGUUCUACAGAGAGGGACAGAGUUAAUACACUUCCUGUUUACUGCUCGCAAAAUACACACACACACACACACUACAUUAUUAACAUCAUAAAAUGAUGAAAAAAUGGCUAAAAGAGUGAUAGAACAUUUCUUUGCAUUUCGUGUUUUGCAGUAUAAUGCCAUUUUAUUCCUGUUGGAAUAAAAAAUAAAUAAAUAAAUAAACAACAACAACAGCAACAAUAAUUAUUAUUAUAUGACUGUUUAUUUUCUGAUUUGUGCUUUGGCAAUAAUGCACUUGGCGCUGUUUUGCCAAUAAGAAUCUGCACCCCUCACACACACAC